rnacentral:rRNA from 1 species
AUACGGAGGAUCCGAGCGUUAUCCGGAUUUAUUGGGUUUAAAGGGUGCGCAGGCGGGAUGUUAAGUCGGCGGUGAAAUUUUGCAGCUCAAACGCAAAAGUGCCUUCGAUAAUGGCUUUCUUGAGUGUGGGUGGAGAAGGAGGAAUUUUUGGGGUAGCGGUGAAAUGCUUAGAUAUCACGAGGAACUCCGAUUGCGCAGGCAGCUUACUAAACCACUACUGACGCUCAUGCACGAAGGCGUGGGGAUCAAACAGGAUUAGAUACCCUGGUAGUCCACGCAGUAAACGAUGAUUACUAGUUGUUUGCGAUACAAUGUAAGCGACUGAGCGAAAGCGUUAAGUAAUCCACCUGGGGAGUACGUUCGCAAGAAUGAAACUCAAAUGAAUUGGCGGGG